rnacentral:rRNA from 1 species
CCUACGGGGGGCUGCAGUGGGGAAUAUUGGACAAUGGGCGAAAGCCUGAUCCAGCCAUGCCGCGUGUGUGAAGAAGGCCUUCGGGUUGUAAAGCACUUUCAGUGGGGAAGAAAGCCUUGGGGCUAAUACCCUCGAGGAAGGACAUCACCCACAGAAGAAGCACCGGCUAACUCCGUGCCAGCAGCCGCGGUAAUACGGAGGGUGCGAGCGUUAAUCGGAAUUACUGGGCGUAAAGCGCGCGUAGGCGGUCUGAUAAGCCGGUUGUGAAAGCCCCGGGCUCAACCUGGGAACGGCAUCCUGAACUGUCAGGCUAGAGGGCAGGAGAGGAAGGUAGAAUUCCCGGGGUAGGGGUGAAAUGCGUAGAGAUCGGGAGGAAUACCAGUGGCGAAGGCGGCCUUCUGGACUGACACUGACGCUGAGGGGCGAAAGCGUGGGUAGCAAACAGGAUUAGAUACCCGGGUAGUC